UUAUUUAGAAGUACAAAUAACAUUGGUUUUGAUCACAUUAACUAACAAAUAUGUUCUGCUUGUUUUGGACCUUGAGGCUCUCAGUCAAGGGGCCACAAGUUUGCUAACGUAAUUCAGCCAGCAAAAUCAAGAAAUCACAAUUCUUAGAAAGUGCUGGGAUCCAGAUAUUAUUGAUUAUAGGAAAGGAGCCUGGAAAUUUGAAUGCUGCUGCUGCAUUUGGCACACAGGCUGGAAUUUGGACAUGUCUGCUCCGAGCAUCAUAGUCAAGUUUAACAAAUAAAACUAUUUUUCACAUUUUGUUAUAUUUUCUGAAGCACAUUCAAAAUAAAAUAAUACACAAAAUAACAAAAAUGUAUUCCCCAAACCCCUGGACAACCAUUUAAUACCUUUAGGACUACAUGAAAUAGUUCUCUGUUUGUCAAAUGAUAUGAAAUAAACAAGUGAAAGAAAACUGGAGCAUGCACACCGCUAAAAUGUCAGUCUGACACCCCCCCACACACAGUAGUACGAGUAAUCCGUGUCAGAAAGACAGUGCGGUUUCCAUGCGGGGGUUUGAAGCUGCGUUCCACUUUGGGACGGUCUACACGAGCCCUACUCGCGCGCGCUCCCCUCCUACCCUCCAAGCCCCGCCCCUACCCGAGAAGCUCUCAGUAAAAAGUCCGUCAGUCUGUCAGACAGGAUUAAAACGCAGAAAAAAAUCAGUCUGUCUACCCCUUCGUCUUGUCUGUGCAGGUCUUCAGCCAGACGUUUGUGUAUCUCCGAGAAGAAGGACCUUUAUUUUCCCAGCUGCGACUACAGCAAGAGUUUGAGCUUUUUCCCCAGACUGCCUGGUGUUGGAGCUUGAAGGCGGCUUUCCUGGAAACCCAUUCAAAGGGAGGCAACCUUUGAGGGAAAACAGACGUCUGCUUCACUCUACCUGAAUCAUACUGGAGGCUGCAGGAUAGCAUGAUGGGUCGAAGAUCCUACCUCUCUGUGUUACUCCUUGCAGCGUGUUGCCUGGCAUCUGCAGGGCCUUUGUCAUACACCCCAUGUAAGCUGCAGCCUGUGGGGAUGGGACAUCCCGUGCAAGCAAGCCUGAAAAACUUCACAGCGUUGUCAGGAUGUGCAAGCAAGGGCACUGCCAAGCUGUCUCAGGAGGUUCACAUCGUUAACCUGAGAGGACAUGCUCCAGAAGGAGCAGGCAACACCUCAGUCAAGGUUGAGCUGGAUUUAAAGCCCAUCCACUCCAUGCAACAUCACCAGAAACCCCUGGUCUUUGUGCUCAACUCCCACCAAAGAGUGACCUGGAAUGUCAAGGCAGAAAACCUGGCUCUGAACAUCAAACAUAUUUUUUAUGUAUCACAAGGUUCGGAGGUCUACUUCAAGACAGAAAACUUCUCUCUCUCCAUUGAUAUAUUCCAUGAAACCCUUCCCCGUGGCAAUGAGCACCUCCUCGAAUGGGCGCAGAGGAAGUACCAUGCAGUCACCUCUUUCUCUGAGCUCAGGAUGACUAAAGCUAUUUUCAUCAGAGUUGGUGAAGAUUCAGAGUUUUCUGACACCUGCAAGAUUGACACCAAGUUCUUCUCUUUAAACUACAUGGGCAGCUUCUAUGACCUGCAGCCGUCCAAUGGCUGUAUCCUGUCUGUGCCAGGGAGAGGCAGAGAAGUCCACAUCAUUGAGCUUCAAAGAACGAACUCCAGCAGUGGUCUCCAGGUGGAUGUCAUUGUGGAUUUGGGGCCUUCAGAAGGCAAUAGCCAUGUGUCCAGGGACGUAGUCCUGGUGCUGAAAUGCACUCAGCCCGUAAAGUGGGUUGUCAAACCUCACAGUGUAAUAGGGAAACUGGAAGUUGUGGCCUCUGAUGCUGUGUGUGAAAGAUCCCACAUGUUCCCACAUGAGUCAACGGUCUCCAAACAGAACUUGCCAACAGGGUUCCAGGCUUUGAUCAGGUGGGCUCAGGAGCAGGGUUACGGCCCAGUGACUUCUUACACCAGCACCGCUGUGGCCAACCAUUUCAGUAUCACUCUGAAAGAGCCAGAAGCUGUGAGUUCUGUGGAGAGAAGAUCCUCACUUGAGCAUCUUGGAGAAGAUUCUGGACCCUUUUCCUCUUCAUUUUUUCCUCACUUUUCUGAAGGUCCGCCCUUCCCGUUGCCUGGUCAGAGCGAACAGCCUGACCCACAGGUUUUAGAUGUUGCUCAUACAGUUCUGUGUGAGGACAAAAGAAUGGUGGUCAGUAUCGAAAAGGAGAAGCUGAAAGAAAAAGGGUUCAAUAAUGCCGUCGUGGCGUUUUCAGAUCCCAGCUGUAAAGCAACAACCAAUGCAACUCACUACAUUCUGGAAACUCCUUUUAAUGGCUGUCAAACCAUUGAAUUUCCCAUGCACGAUAGUGCAAUGCCUAUGUAUAUCAACUCUGUUUUUGUAGAUCCUGGUGAGAUAAACAACAGGCCACAAGAUCACAAAGCAGAAGAUUGGUUAGGUCUGUUGUCAGUUGAAAAUCAGCGACACUAUAUAGCGGUCAACUGCACUAACAGGAAUGAGCCGGAAACACUGACAAGAACUUUGCCAAAACAAGACUUGCAACCACUAAGCGACAUUACUUUCAAGAUUGAGUUGUAUGAUACGAAUCUCUUCAACAGUCCUUUGCGCCAGGCCUUCUACACAGUUUCACAAAACCAGACCGUGUUUGUGGAGGUGACUUCAUCUGAAUAUCAUCCGGAUGUAAGCUUCAUUAUCACAUCGUGCCGAAUUUCUCCUCACUCCGACCCCAAAAUGGACUUCGACUACAAACUCAUCGAGACAUUUUGCCCAACGGACGACUCUGUCACCUUCCUGCCUCCUCGUCCCUCUGCAGGGAUGGAGAAUAAACGCUUUAGUUUCUUCUUCUCCUCAACAUUCAACAGACAUUUGCUCUUCUUGCACUGCGAACUUUCUUUAUGCUCCAAGACAACUAAAGGGAGCCAGCAACUGCCACUGUGCCUGAAACCCGAUGAGGUCUGUUCCUUAUCGUUGGACAAAAUCUUGCAGUUGAUGAUGAACACCAAGGCGUCCGUGAAGACUUUGGUUGUUAUUGAUCAACCAGAUCAACCGAUCAGUUCUGUACCUGAGCCUCCAGUUGACUCUACAAAAGACAGGAGUCCAGAAAACCCUAAAAUCGUUUACGUGCUGGACACUCCAACUGUGGCAGGGAUUGCCUUUGCAGCGUUUGUGAUUGGGGUUCUGUUGACUGGAGCUCUGUGGUUUAUUUACACCCACACAGUUCUGCGCUGCUGCGAGUCUACCGAACUACCCCACCCCCUCUGCGGAGCGCAUUGAGCGCCACCACAUAUUGACCAGAGACGCAGUCAUGUGCAGCUUAGAGAGAAAAAUAAAGUGAGAAACCUGCGGCGCCGCCGGCCCAGAAGUCACUUCCCGCCUCUGAGAACAGCAGCACGGCUCACAGUAUUGGCAGCACACAGAGCACGCCAUGCUCCAGCAGCAGCACAGCGUAGUCCAAGAUGUGCUUGUCCUGAAGAGCUCAGGACAAACCCUGGGCUUCACAGUGACUGGUUUGUUUUUCAAAAAUCAUGAAAGCGAAAAAGUAAACACCUGUUAUUAAAAAAAAAAUACAUAUAUAUAUAUCUGCAUCCAAAGUGCAGAAAAAAGCAUGCAAAAAAGGAAAAACUGUUUUUUUAUAAGAGUCUAUCAGAUGUGCAGGCAUGUGAAAAUUCUGGAAAAUGGUUUAUAUUAGUUUUCUUCAUAUCCAAAUGCUGCUUUGAUAUUGACAGUAUCACAUAGUUUGGGUUUGUUUUGCCAAUGCUUAGUUUGUGGAGCACCUGGCACGUGUACUUUAGCUGUGAGCAAAUGCAACGACGAGGCGCCGAUGGCUGGCCCGUAACGUGUUGCUUAAACUCAAGCAAACCAGGAAAAAGGCAGGGGGUGGGGGCAAACUGAACCACUAUAAAAGAGAGGACAGAAGUGCAGUAGAAACACAAGUCUGUAGCUAUGGUUAAAUAAAUGGCUCAAAAUGAUGAUUACGUGUAGAACGGAAGAGGGAAAAGGGAAAAAAAAAUGUGAAAGAAAAAUGUGAAAAAUGUGCAGGAAAACCCUACAAGUCAUAUGAACACAUGAUGGAUUCAUGCCUGAUGUUGUUGGCGGUUAUUUCUUUAGUCUGAUGGUGUUAAAAGGCUUCAGACCUGUACUUUUUCUCAUGCUCAAGCGCCACUAGUAAACUUUUCAAGGGGGGAAGCAGCUUCUACAGAGCUCUGUAAAGUGGAUCAUGACAAAUGUGUCUUCACAGGGGGAUACUUUCAAAGGAAUUCCACCUAAUAUUAGCUUUGGACACAUACUCCUAUUUAUGACGCUGUACGCGUUACCGUCUACCACUUUAAACCCAGAAAAGCUUUUAAAAGGAGAAAUGUUUUAAAAAAAAAAAGGUUGAGUGAUUUUUUCAACAUUAGUAAAUUUAAACUUGCAAUGAGGAGUGGUAGCACCUUUGAAGCUGAAGCUGAGUUUCCAUCUGAAGCCAUACAGACUCCUUCAAGCCGCUAAAAAAUGUAGAUUUUAUUAAUAAUAUUCCAUUAGUAAUGGGCUCUUUCUGUGGAAAGCUGUUUAUCUCCUUAAGUCACUCAGACUACUGGAUUUUUGGACCAUAAAGCACACCGAUUUUUAAGGCAAUCAUAAAAGACAAUCUUAUAAUGCAACUCCACUACCCAGCAUGCUUAGAGGAACCAAGAAGCAGCGGGCGAUUGGUCAGUAGGGUUAAGGGGAAGUUUUCUGCAGUGAGCAGCCUAAAGUUCAACUUUAUUGAUAACUCCUGACUACAGUAAUACCCAUAAUACCCAAAGUCAUACUAAAACAUUUUGACCCACCUUUGAGCACCUUGUACCACAGAAAAUCAGUUUAAGGUCAUUCAGCACAACCAGGAUACACACAAAACGUCAAUAUUUGAGAAAAUAAACGAUUUUAAGUGCGUAUUGUGGUCCAAAAUAUACAGUACUCUAAGUGCACAGACAUGAGAUGUUUCUCUUUUUAUGCAAUGUUAGGAAUUGGGUUUAUUUUCUCUAAAAUGUCUUGUUUUUUAAGUCGUGUAAAUAGUGUAAAAAGUUGUAGCGAGGCAGGUUUUGUUCAAUUUUACUUGUUGUAUUGAUUAGCGGAACAAGUUCGUUGAGGAUUUUCAAUGUUUUAAAUAGAAGACAGUUGGCUUCAGAGCACAAUGGCCAGGUUUCAAACACACAAACCCAAAAUACUGUCCUGCCAUCUGUCCUGGAACAAAUUCUGAAAAAAAAGAGUGAAGGUUUUCACCUCCAAAAGACAGCCACAGCUUUGAUAUCACCUGACGAUGAGCAGUCCAAAAGUAAUCGUACAAGAAUUUUUCUGGAUUUAAGCUAGCUGUCCUUGUCUUUUCUUGAAUAAUUUAGUUCAAGUUUUGCCACUUAAAGCAUGUUGAUUAAGCUGUCAUUGAUUUUAACGCUUUUUAACACUUUUUCUACAUAAACAAAACAAAACAGCAAAACCUAUAUUUUUGUCUGUGUUGGGGUCGGGGGGCUUAAAAGGAAAUGCUAUCUUGUUGCUAACAAAAGUCUAUCUGAAGAUUUAUAAAAACAAAACCCAAAAAAUGUAUUAUUUUCUCAAAAUGUUUUUAUGUUUUCUUUGUAUGAAACUUUCUACAGAGUAUAAAUAUAUAUUUGUUUAUAAAAUUAUAUUUUGGAAUAUAUUUACUAUAGAAAAUGUACUUUGCUUUUGUGUGAGUACUGUGAAUUGUGGAUUUGCUUAAACAUAUGUUUUUUGGGAUAUUGUGUGCGGAAUAUUCCUAAAAAGUCACAAGUCGGCCUUUGAAACACAGAUUAAAGUUGAAUUUGAACCACCCCAGUAAAAUAGAGAGAGAAGGUACAUAUAAACUUUCUGUUUUUACAAAAGCGACCUUCUAAUAAAGCCUAUUGAUAGAAAUAAUGCACCAUCAGCCCAUUUGGUCAAAGUUUAUAGGAAACAACUUGUCCUGUGAAAUGUGGAUGGGAUGUUUCUGCUCCACACAGGACAGUCAAUUUUAUGACACCUUAAAUGCAAAGUAGCUGUGAAGUUAAAUGUUAUACCAGCUAACUAAAUAUAAAACAUUGUGGAUUUAAAGACCAGACUUGUGACAAGGAUUCUACGUUUUGUUCAUUUUUUGUUUUCACAUGUUAGCGUCAAAGAAAAAGUGAGCAUUCACAAAGCAUGUUCAUAAGUAUUUAGGACCUCAGUAAACAACAUCAACUUCUUGUUGCCACUUCAGCUGAAACUUGUGAAAUGUGUGAGGAUGUAUGAAGAUUAACACAAAGAAUAGAUAUCUGCUUAAAUAACCGUGAACAUGAAUGUUUAAAUGAGAUACAAACUUCUAGUUGUCACAGGAGAAAGAAAGGCGACCCUUAUUGCGUUCUUAGCGGUCUCAGGACAUGUGAGGCAUUUCUCUGGUCCCUAAAGGUUUUGUAAAUAUAGAGAUGAACUCAUAAACCAAACAAAAAACAGAGACAAAAAAUGGAUUAGAUUAUAUUCAACGUUAUUGACAUUAUAAAUGUACAGUGUUGUUUGGCAAAAGUUAACUGAAACCAAGCUGUCCAGUCGUCGGUUUUCAGUGUCCAGUCACUAUGGCUAACUCACUUCCUUUUGACCAUUCAUAUUCUAUAGUUAACAUCAAUGAUCAUCAGUGAAUACGUGUCCAUGGUUUGACCUGAUUUCUUGCACUAAUGCUACAAUUAUGGUCAACAUUGACUUCAGAACAGCAACUUUUAGAAGUUAGCAUAUAAAACCAUUACCUUGUCUUCUUUCCAGUUUUUUCUUUAUUUUCAGUAACUAAUGAUAAAUUAACAGGAUGUUGCUUCUUCCUGCACUUCAUUUUUGUCUCUUGUUUUUCAUCUAACAUUGUUUUUAUUCUAAAGUAUGACCUGCUAAGGAUACAAAAAGGAUGUUUUUCUUUUCACUGUUAUCACAGCCUAAACUCCUUAAUAAAAAAAGGAUUGAAGUCCCACUCCGAUCAUCUUUUGAUGUGUUUAAAUGAAAUCCCAUUGAUCUUUUACUUAUAAUUAUGCCAUCUUUAGCCAAAAUUUAAAAAACCUGUGUUGUUUUCUAGGACAUAAUUUCUGCACAGCAGACUUUCAUUCGAAAUUUGUCUCUAAACUGUGGGCGGGACUGUUGUCACGGAGCAACCCCACCCCCACUCCCCCUCCCAGCAGGGUGCUUGUGAUCUGUCCAGCAUAAUUUCUGUUCCUGAUCUACAAUGAUUUCAGUAAAGAAAUCCACAGAAAUGUAAUUUUCUUUAUAUAUGUCCUCAAUCAUGAAAAAAAAGCCACAAAAACAUGUUAACAACACCAAAAACACAUUUUGUAUCGGAGUGGGUCUUUAAAGCUGUUGGGAGAGUCACAGUUUGUUUUGUAAAAUGUGACAAAUCCAUAUCCUACAUGCAUCUGUAAUUAUCAUCCUCUGUUGCUGUUCUGGCUCCUUUUUUUUUUUCUGGAUCCAGUCCGUGUUCAGAUAGGAUUAGUAUUUUUAUGCAAAACAGUCAUUAGUAUUCCCAGAGGUUCAAAUAUCCUCUUGUUUGUCCCCUUCUUGCCUCAGUGCAUGCUGGGAAAAGUGCCAUGUUCGUCUGAUGAUAACAGACAGACAUGGAUGAAGUGAUUCUCACAAAGAGUGCCUUGUUUGCUGAAAGUAUGCAGAGCUUCUCCUGCUAAAUGUUUCCCAAUUUCUUUUUCAACAGCUGUAACUGGAGCAUAAGUCUUUCAAAGGAAUUAUUGAUUGUAAUUUGUUUUCCUUGUUUUUUUUUAUCAUUUGACUACCUCAUGUAUUUAAAUGAAUGUGCAAUUUUUGUGUCUGCAUUUGUGCUUCAGAUGACAACAGUUUUGUGAUUUAUGAAGCCGUGAUGUGUUAAAGCUGAAUGUAUUAGCCUUUCUUCCGCUCCUGAAACUUUUGUAUUGCUGUAAAUAUGGAGAAUGGUUGUAUAUUCAUUAUGAUGAAUACAUUUUUCAUUUAGUCAAAA